rnacentral:lncRNA from 1 species
CACAGUUAAAAAAAAAAAAGAUCUUAGUUAUCCUUUACUUAUCUUGCCAGAUAAUCUUCAGAAUCUUUUUUAGUCAAUUUAAAUGGAAGGGAUUCAGUUUCCUAGUAUGGCACUGGUAUACUGUUUCUCAGCCCUUUCUGAAGUCCCACUGACUUUUAGAUAUAUGACCAUCUUUCAGGUGAAGGACCAGCGUUGGAGGAUUCUGGCAAGAAAUUUGCUGGCAAUGACUAAGGUAAGAGGGAGCCACUGAAGCUUCUUGAGCAGGGAUAUGACAGAAAUACAAAAGACUAGAGGAACAUUCUCCACUUAUCAGCUUACCAGGGGAUAAAGAAAUGCUUCUCAGAAGAAUGAUCCAAGGAGAAAACGAACAUGAUCCAAUCAUGGUCCAAGGAGAAAACAAAGAAGAAAAGAUUCUAAGAAGACAAAAGGGGAAACCAGAACAAGGGAAUGAAAGGGAGUGACAUGUGGAUGGAAGAGAAAGAUCUUAGUAGUUGGAGCUAUAUUAUCAAUACUCAGAUCUUCCUUCAGAUUAUGAACAUGGAUCUUCUGAGGAUGAAGCAACUUCCAGGAUCUACUGAAACAGUAAGUAGGAAUUUAUAGAUGCCACCCAGAUGUGACAUCCCUGAAUUAAAGAAAAGAAGUGUCAUGGUAGACUGUAUCUUCCUGUUGAGAGACAAGGGAUGUCAUGUGUCAGCGUGAUAUCAACAAGCAUGAAGUAUUCUUUUUACCUGGGAUGUGCAUAUGAGCUAUGACUGAACUCCUCAAGGCUUAGCAAACCUGAAGACAGCUACCCAUUUCUUGUGAUUCCUAUCACAAGACAAAAAUAACAUUGCUAGAAGGGACCUGGAGAGAAUCUCUAUGAUUAUAAAGACCUUGGGAGAAAAAUGAAGAUCCUAAAGGCUAGCAUAGAGUUUUCAUCACUAAGAAUAAAUAGGAUAAGAGGAGUCA